AUGCAUAGAGCCAGUCGAAGGGAGGUUUCGCUCGCCUUUAGCCCUACCCGGAGAAAAACGCUCAGUGAAGGCUGGUGCGCUCGUGUGCCUGUGUGCACAUUGUUUGCAAGUGUGCAUGUGUGCGAAUGUGCAUGUGUUUCUGCGUGCAUGUGUGCAUACAAGUGCGCGCCUGUUUGUUUACAUGUGUUUAUGCCUGCAUGUGUCUGUGGGAGUGUGCACGUGUAUCUAAGUGCACGUGUGUGGAUUUGCGAGCAAGUCUGUGUGUGUGUGUGUGUGUGUGUGUACGCGUGCGCGUUCUCGAUGGGUCGUGCAAUCUGCCAGGAGGGUAUUCCGACACAGAGCAGGACUGUGGGGGCUUGUUCCUACUCCCCUUCAUUUGAUCCCACUCCCAGGAAACUAGAACUCUGCCGCGCGUGCAGCCAGACGCUUCCUGCAGAGUGUUGGCUCCGCAUCGUAGAGGUGCAGGUAAAGGCCAAGCCCCUAAACGCGGCUCCGGGGCAGCCACAUUCCCGCGCCUUUCUAGGACAGCCGCCCAGGAGCGACCUCGGGCGGCGGGCGGGGCUAGGCCGGCGGCAAGCCGGCCCGGGAUUCCCGGCCUGUCCCUUUAACCCCGCCGUGAGGCGGGAGCACGUGAGCGGGGCUCCGGGUGGCACCCGGGCGCCGCCGCCGCGGAGGCAGUUGUAUUUCGAACACUGCCUCUGGCCCGCGGCCAGGCGCCUUGGCUCGGCGGUCUGCCUGGCCUCCCUCCUCCUCAUACUUUUCCUCCAGCGCAGCCCCCUCCCCUUUAUCCGCCCACGAUUAGAGGUGGGCACUCCCCCCAUCUCGCCGCCCCCUCCCCAAGCACACACACACUCAACGCGCUCGAAUUCUGGGGUAGAAACUCAGAAAACUUCCAGCCUGGGCAGCGCGCGCUUGGUGCAGGACGCAGGAGUAAUCAGCCCGUCCCCCUCCAACUCUCCGGUGCCGCUGCCGCCCGCUCCCGCCACCCGAGAAGGAACGGUGCCACCCACCGCUCCGUCCCCUGCCUGCGCCCAGUGCCCGACCGGAUCCCCGCAGAAUCUCCCCAUCCUCCCUUCGCUUUCCGACUGCCCAAGGCGUUAUUUGUUUUCUCUCUCUUUCUCUUUCUUGCUCUGCGAGCGCGGAGCGGGGGGGAAGAGGAGGAGGAAUUCUUUCCCCGCCUAA
ensembl:lncRNA